GACGAACGCUGGCGGCGUGCUUAACACAUGCAAGUCGAACGAAGUGGCGAACGGGUGAGUAACGCGUAAUCAACCUGCCCUUCAGGGGGGGACAACAGUUGGAAACGACUGCUAAUACCCCAUACGGAAGAAGGGGAAUGCGUGGGAUGAGCGGGUUGGUGGGGGAACGGCCCACCAAGGCGAUGAUCCGUAGCCGGUCUGAGAGGUGGAACGGCCACAUUGGGACUGGUACACGGCCCAGACUCCUACGGGAGGCAGCAGUGGGGAAUAUUCCGCAAUGGACGAAAGUCUGACGGAUCCACGCCGCGUGAGUGAUGACGGCCUUCGGGUUGUAAAGCUCUGUUGUUAGAGAAGCGUUAUCUAACCAGAAAGCCACGGCUAACUACGUGCCAGCAGCCGCGGUAAUUC
rnacentral:rRNA from 1 species